UACGUAGGGGGCAAGCGUUGUCCGGAUUUAUUGGGCGUAAAGAGCGUGUAGGCGGUUUGGUAGGUCCGCUGUGAAAACUCGAGGCUCAACCUCGAGACGCCGGUGGAAACCAUCAGGCUAGAGUCCGGAAGAGGAGAGUGGAAUUCCUGGUGUAGCGGUGAAAUGCGCAGAUAUCAGGAAGAACACCGGUGGCGAAAGCGCUCUGCUAGGCCGCAACUGACACUGAGGGACGAAAGCUAGGGGAGCGAAUGGG
rnacentral:rRNA from 1 species